GUACUACUCCCUCCGUUCCAAAUUACUUGUCGCAAGUAUGGAUGUAUCUAGAUAUAUUUUAGUUCUAGAUACAUCAAUUUCUGCGACGAGUAAUUUGAAACGGAGGGAGUAUAAG
rnacentral:pre_miRNA from 1 species